rnacentral:rRNA from 1 species
UACGUAGGGGGCUAGCGUUGUCCGGAAUCAUUGGGCGUAAAGAGCGUGUAGGCGGUCCGGUAAGUCCGCUGUGAAAGUCGGGGGCUCAACCCUCGAAUGCCGGUGGAUACUGUCGGGCUAGAGUGCGGAAGAGGCGAGUGGAAUUCCUGGUGUAGCGGUGAAAUGCGCAGAUAUCAGGAGGAACACCGAUGGCGAAGGCAGGUCUCUGGGCCGCAACUGACGCUGAGGAGCGAAAGCAUGGGGAGCGAACAGG